rnacentral:ncRNA from 1 species
UGACCUCAAAUCAGGUAGGACUACCCGCUGAACUUAAGCAUAUCAAUAAGCGGAGGAAAAGAAACUAACAAGGAUUCCCCUAGUAACUGCGAGUGAAGCGGGAAAAGCUCAAAUACUUACU